UUUGCUCCCUCUCUCUCUCUCUCUGUCUCUCUUCUUAUCUACGCUUCUCCUUCCAUCAUCUCCCUCAUUCUCAGCUAUCAUCUGCUGCUGCUGCUGCGUCUGCCUUAGCCUGCAUGAUGAUGAUGAUGAUGAUGAUGAUGCUAUUUCCUGCUCCUCCUGCUGGAUUCUGGGUCAUGGAUCCCCUAAGGACAAAAUGUCUCUGAUGGAGGCCACCGUGGGUCCAGAUCCCAAGUGGUUGUAGUAAGGCCCUUCAUCUUUCUCCAGGAUUUGUUCUAAGGUGAAAAAAAGGCCAAGGACCCCCAAUCUGAUGGAGCGAUGGAGCAGGAUCCCCUAAAUACAUAUAUACACUAUUCAAAUAACACACAGGUGUUAUUUGUGUAUAUAUAUAUAUAUAUAUGUGUGU